GGGGCGCGGGCUAAUCUGCAGUCGACGAAGUCUUCGGACUUAUGGUCCGAUGGGUGAGUAACACGUGGGAACGUGCCUUUAGGUUCGGAAUACCUCUAGGAAACUUGUGCUAAUACCGAAUGUGCCCUUCGGGGGAAAAAUUUAUCGCCUUUAAAGCGUCCCGCGUCUGAUUAGCUAGUUGGGGAGGUUAAGGCUCACCCCGGCCACGAUCAGUAACUGGUCUGAGAGGAUGAUCACCCACGUUGGGACUGAGACACGACCCAAACUCCUACGCGAGGCCACUGUGGGGAAUCUUGCGCACUGACUCAAACCCUGACCCACCCAUGCCGCGCGUCUGAUGAGGGUCUUAGGAUUGUAAAAUUCUUUCACCGGGGACAAUAAUGACUUCACCCGGAAAAAAACCCCCGGCUAACUUCAUGCCAUCAGCCGCGGUAAGACCAAGGCUUGUAGCGUUGCUCGCAAUUACUGGGCGUAAAGGGAGCGUAGGCGGACAUUUAAAUCAGGAGGGAAAUCCCGGGGCUCAACCUCAGAAUUGCCUUUGAUACUGGAUGUCUUGAUUGUGAUAUAAGUAUGUGGAACUCCGAGUGUAGAGGUGAAAUUCGUAGAUAUUCGAAAGAACGCCAGUGGCAAAGGCGACAUACUGUCUCAUUACUGACGCUGAGUGCUCGAAAGCGUGGGAGAGAACACCAGGAUUAGAUACCCUGGUACUCCACUCCGUAUGACGAUGAAUGCUAGAUGUCGGGAUGCAUGCAUUUCAUUGACGCAGCUGACGCAUUACGCCAUCCGCCUGGAGUGCUACGGUCGCAAGAUUAUUCCUCCCAUUAAUUGACGGGCUACCGCACAAGCGGUGCAGCAUGUGGAGUAAUACCGAAGCGACUGCGCACUACCUUACCACCUUUUGACCUGCCUGGACCGCCAGAGAGAUCUGGUUAUUUCUUACGGAGCACUAAGACACAUGACGCUGCAUGGCUGUCGUCUGCUCGUGUCAAGAAAUGAUGCGUUCAACUCCCGCAACCAGCGCGACCCGUCGCCAUUAGUUGCCAUCCAUUCAUCUGUCACUCUAGUGGGACUGACCGCUCGCU
rnacentral:rRNA from 1 species